GAUGAACGCUGGCGGCGUGCCUAAUACAUGCAAGUCGAGCGAACGGACGAGAAGCUUGCUUCUCUGAUGUUAGCGGCGGACGGGUGAGUAACACGUGGAUAACCUACCUAUAAGACUGGGAUAACUUCGGGAAACCGUAGCUAAUACCGGAUAAUAUUUUGAACCGCAUGGUUCAAAAGUGAAAGACGGUCUUGCUGUCACUUAUAGAUGGAUCCGCGCUGCAUUAGCUAGUUGGUAAGGUAACGGCUUACCAAGGCAACGAUGCAUAGCCGACCUGAGAGGGUGAUCGGCCACACUGGACCUGAGACACGGUCCAGACUCCUACGGGAGGCAGCGGUAGGGAAUCUGCCGCAAUGGGCGAAAGCCUGACGAAGCAACGCCGCGUGAGUGAUGAGGGUCUUCGGUUCGUAAAACUCUGUUAUUGGGGAAGAACAUAUGUGUAAGUAACUGUGCGCAUCUUGACGGUACCUAAUCAGAAGGCCACGGCUAACUCCUU
rnacentral:rRNA from 1 species